rnacentral:tRNA from 1 species
GCGGGUGUAACUCAGUGGUAGAGUGUUUGCUUCCCAAGCAAAAGGUCGCGAGUUCGAAUCUCGUCACCCGCUCCA